rnacentral:rRNA from 1 species
AUUGAACGCUGGCGGCAGGCCUAACACAUGCAAGUCGAACGCGUGGCGGACGGGUGUGUAAUGUCUGGGACACUGCCUGAUGGAUGGGGAUCAUUACUGGAAACGGUAGCUAUUACCGCAUACCAUCCGAUUUGCCCAGAUGGGAUUAGCCAGUAGGUGGGGUAAAGGCUCACCUAGUCGACGAUCCCCAGCUGGUCUGAGAGGAUGACCGGCCACACUGGAACUGAGACAAGGUCCAGACUCCUACGGGAGGCAGCAGUGGGGAAUAUUGCACAAUGGGCGCAAGCCUGAUGCAGCCAUGCCGCGUGUAUGAAGAAGGCCUUCGGGUUGUAAAGUACUUUCAGCGGGGAGGCGUUACCCGCAGAAGAAGCACCGGCUAACUCCGUGCCAGCAGCCGCGGUAAUAC